rnacentral:lncRNA from 1 species
GUGAGAGCGAGCCUGAGCUGCCAUUUGUAAACACUGUUUUCAAGUUUGAAGCAUAAGCACACACAAGGAGGAAAAUUGGGCUUAUUUCAGUUUCAUCUCAAUAUUCAUUGUAUAUCCCAUAAUAAUCCACUAAUAUGAAACUAUGCUGAUAUUGGAAAUCAUUUAUACCUAUAAUCCCAGCACCCCAAAAAGCCUAGGCAGGAAGACUAUUGAAAAUUUGAGGCUAGCCUGGACUACAUAAUGAGAUCCUAUCUCAAAACACCAAACAAACCACUUGCAUAGCCAGAAAUCAGUUAACCUUCUUGUUACCUUCUUUUUGUGACAUGGAUUCAGAUGCAAAUGUUCAUUUAGGCAUCAUUGAAUCAGUGUGUCAAAUGUAUGUUUUAUGGAUCUUAAAUUUAUUUCAAUUCUGGUCAGGUAAAUUUAAAUUUAAAUAUCAGUGAUAAAUCCAAAAGCAAAACCAGGAAGGAAGGUUAAGAGUGGGUGAUGAGGUCUUUGAAGUGAUGGCUGCUGAUAGUACCUGCUCAUCAGAGACAACACACAAAACAAAAUGGGAAAUCAUCACAGACUGUUAGAUUGUCUUUCUUCUUGUUAUUAUAGACCUGAGAAACAUUCUAUAUCAAAAUGGUUUUGGUGUGACAUUUUGUUGUGCCAAAAUUCUCUGUCUUGAGGAAUUUUUUAAAAAUUAGUACUGUUCUUGAAACAAACAAACAAACAAACAAAAAGCUAAAUCACCCGUUUUCCUGGAGCCACUUUGAACAACAAGGUGUCAACUUGACCUUAAGUAGGUUGAUUGUGCCUCUUAGCAAUGACCUGCUGGCUUCUCAAUAAAGACAGAAUCCAUUGAGACUUAACAGUUCCCAUUUAGCAAUUUCAUGGAGCUGGAGAGGUAGCUCUUUGCUUUAGGUCUCUGAUUUUCCUCUAGAGGAUAAGGGUUUGAUUCCCAGCACCCACACAAUAGCUCACGAAUGUCUGUUACUACAGUUCCAGGGUAUCCAACACCCUCUUCUGGCCUCCUGGCACUGCAUGCUUGUAGUUCCAAUACACACAUGUAAGCAAACCAUCCGUGCACAGAAAAUAAUAAUAUUUUAAAGUCUUAUGUCAUUGGACAGUGGUACUACCCAGGUAUAGCAUUGCUGCCAUUUUCCUGUAGGAGAAGACCUUAUUAACACUAAAUGACAGAAUUCCCGUUAUUGACAGAAUUUUCAGAAAUUGUAGUCCUGUCCUCUGCCAGUUCGCAUGGAAAGAAAACAAGCCUAAGUACUUUUUUUUUUUUUAAGUUUUCCAGAGAAUUUCUGAAGGUCAAGUUGAAACUUUUGGCAGAGAUGCAGAUGGAUGAAAAUUCUGUGGGACCUGAUGGAGCGUAGUCUGUGCUAGUUGUAUAGAGCUGGGGUGGAAAAGAACUGGGGUAGAUACUCAACCACAGCCCACAAUUCCAGCACCAGCACACAGCUGAGAAACACUGUAACCCUUUAUCACCAACUCACCCCUCUGCCUCCUUUUCCUCUUCCUCCUUCUCUGUAUUAUUAUUAUUAUUACUACUAUUAUUUAUUAUUACAUUAUUACUUUGAUGGUUCCAGAGAUAGAAUGCAUGCUAGGCACAUAUUCUGCCUUGGGCGACAUGCCUCACCCCUUACAAUUAUUUAUACACAUACAUGUGUAUUUUUGUCCCUAGAUAUUCUUUUCUGAGCAAAACUAGGGCAUAAUUCUCCUGAGGUAGCUGAGGGUGAGAAGAAACAGUGUAGUUAAUUCAUACCUAAGUCAGGCCUCCCCACAGCCCUCCUCCAUACUGGCAAUAUCAAGCAGGUGGGCGAGCCCAGAUGAGGUUCCUCAGUGAGGUGUGAAGACAGCAGUCCUUCCCUGCAUUUCUUGCCUACACUAUAGCAUGCUCCAUGGUGGACACAGCCAUCUUGUUAUAUCUUCUCUAAACAUGAAGUAGUCUUUUAAACAUAAUAUAAUUGUCCUUUUUCCGAAAGGAAACUUCUGGAAAAGCAUAACUUUGCAUACUUGCAUGAAAGAUAAUCUCAGAUAACUUAGUCCAAAGCACAUUACUUAGCAACGGGCUGGACUAGCAGUCAUCAGCAGUAUCCAUCUGGAUGUGGCUUCUGGCAGAGCAGGCUUGCUGGGGCCACAAGUACCUCGGCUUGCCACCCAUCCUCAGGUUUCUAGAUUACUCAGGUCUCUGUCGCACAAGGAUCAUUACCUGUCGGUGGUGGAGAAUGGUAACUGCGUCUCCUCAAUGACUGUAGAGCCACACUUCUGAGGACAGGAAGUGUAUUAGAGACAAACAGUUCUUUAAAACCAAACAGUAAGCGUCAGGGACGAAGAUUGUGAUCUAGUAAAUUUGGGCUCCAAUAAGGAGGUGCAGAGAGCCAUAUCUCUCUGGGAGUUUGUCUCAUUGAAGGGGGUUCAGUUUUUUGGCCCUCAGGGUCUUUCAAUAGCAUAUCUCUGCAUGACCUACUGGCAUGGUCUGUUGUCCGUUACUUUGGUACCUCCCAUAGAUGAUAGUUAAAGGCAGGUUGGGUAGGGACUAUUUUUGUUUCUGCUUCUCUCUGUAGACUUAAAUGCCAGCAGCGUGUGCAGGCAUAGAGGAGUACUGAACAAUAAGGAGUGCUGUAGUGUGUGAGUGUUUGGGACUACAGGAGGAAGACAAUGAAUUAAAUAAAAAUAGAAGAGCUAAGUUCAGAUCGGAAAUAUUCCAGAGUUUGUUUUUGUUUUUUUGUAGUGUGUUUUUUCCUGGAUGUCAAGAGAUAGUGGGACUGAGUCUCAAAAACCAACACACAUCAGUAUGCUAAGUUUGGAGCCACACUAACUGGUCAGAUUGGUGGAGGGGUGGGGGGAACAUAACUUGAAAAAUACCAGUAGAUUUUUUUUAAUUUAAUUUUUACUUUAUUUUGUGUACUGGAUACUAAAAUUUCAAGACCGACAUGGUUUUCACAACUGCACAGUAUUUUCAUCUAGUAACCAAGUACUUCCAUAUAGUCAACUCCAUCGACCGGAACGUAAAUAC